GUGGGGAAUAUUGGACAAUGGGCGAAAGCCUGAUCCAGCAAUGCCGCGUGAGUGAUGAAGGCCUUAGGGUUGUAAAGCUCUUUUACCAGGGAUGAUAAUGACAGUACCUGGAGAAUAAGCUCCGGCUAACUCCGUGCCAGCAGCCGCGGUAAUACGGAGGGAGCUAGCGUUGUUCGGAAUUACUGGGCGUAAAGCGCACGUAGGCGGUUACUCAAGUCAGAGGUGAAAGCCCGGGGCUCAACCCCGGAACUGCCUUUGAAACUAGGUAACUAGAAUCAUGGAGAGGUCAGUGGAAUUCCGAGUGUAGAGGUGAAAUUCGUAGAUAUUCGGAAGAACACCAGUGGCGAAGGCGACUGACUGGACAAGUAUUGACGCUGAGGUGCGAAAGCGUGGGGAGCAAACAGGAUUAGAUACCCUUGUAGUCC
rnacentral:rRNA from 1 species